UUUGUAAUCUGGCGUCUUCGACGUCCGAGUUGUAAUCUCGAGAAGUGUUUUCCGUGAUAGACCGCAUACAAGUCUCUUGGAACAGAGCGUCAUAGUGGUGAGAACCCAGUACACGAUGCGGAUGCCUAUUACUUUGUGAUACACUUUCGAAGAGUCGAGUUGUUUGGGAAUGCAGCUCAAAUUGGGUGGUAAAUUCCAUCUAAAGCUAAAUAUUGGCGAGAGACCGAUAGCGAACAAGUACCGUGAGGGAAAGAUGAAAAGCACUUUGGAAAGAGAGUUAACAGUACGUGAAAUUGUUGGAAGGGAAACACAUGCAGUGAUACUUGCUAUUCGGGGCAACUCGAUUGGCAGGCCCGCAUCAGUUUUUCGGGGCGGAAAAUCGUAGAGAGAAGGUAGCAGUUUCGGCUGUGUUAUAGCUCUUUACUGGAUUCGCCCUGGGGGACUGAGGAACGCAGCGUGCUUUUAGCAUGAGCUUCGGCUUAUCCACGCUUAGGAUGCGGGUUUAUGGCUGUAUAUGACCCGUCUUG
rnacentral:rRNA from 1 species